rnacentral:rRNA from 1 species
UUGACCUCGGAUCAGGUAGGGAUACCCGCUGAACUUAAGCAUAUCAGU